UACGUAGAGUGCAAGCGUUGUCCGGAAUUAUUGGGCGUAAAGAGCUCGUAGGCGGUCUGUCGCGUCGGCUGUGAAAACCCGAGGCUCAACCUCGGGCCUGCAGUCGAUACGGGCAAACUAGAGUACUGCAGGGGAGACUGGAAUUCCUGGUGUAGCGGUGAAAUGCGCAGAUAUCAGGAGGAACACCGGUGGCGAAGGCGGGUCUCUGGGCAGUAACUGACGCUGGAGGAGCGAAAGCGUGGGGGAGCGAACAGG
rnacentral:rRNA from 1 species